ACUCUGGACAUGGCAACCCAACCUCUGGACAUGGCGACCCAAGGUCCACAAAACAGAAGGAACAGGUCCCUGAAUUAUCAUGGGGAAGAACCCACCUGGGACUGAUACAUGAAUGAGGAACUAACUUCUAUUUUAUUUGAACAAAUACCUCUGGGCCUAUGAAAUAAAACGAUACUCUGUGGAUGGGAAAGUCACAUUCUUACAGCUGUGAAAACCUGAACUGAAUAGGUAUGUAAGCGCCUUCAAACUCAUAGAGGAGUAAUUCUCUUUCGAACAGUCCCCUAGGAAAAUUCCCUAAUUUAGGUUGAUCGCCGUGGAUAGAAAGGGCCCCAGGCAAUUUGUCCAGCAAGCAAAUUGGCACUUGAGCCCGGAUGUCCAUGUCUCAAUCAACAUUUCCUAUUAAGGGAAAAUUGUUGCUGUUCUCCAUUAAAAUGAGUUCACUAUUCCAUUUCAAUUUUUUGUGUCAAAUGCCAAAGUAGAGGGAACUUUUAAUGUAAUUGGAAAGCUAUCAGGUGAAGUUUCUUGUAGCUCCAUGCACUAACUGAAACGUGGCUGAACCCAAGGACAUGUUUCUCCUACAGUCCUCUUAGGAGGUGGCUGUGUUUGUCUCCCAGCCCUCAAGUCUCUCUCUAUCAGGGAGAAUAAGGUAGAUAGGUGUCCUUCCGGCAACUCAUUGCUACUUGUAGACUUUUCUUCUCUCUUCACUUUCAAAAACCACAUCUCCUUUGCGAUGCGUGCCAAAGCUUGUGCCACCUGCCACUCUUACUUCCUGUAGCCACCUCCUGACUUUUUUCUCCUCGAUUCUUGUCAUUGUUCUUGGUCACUCCAACAUCCAUACGGAUGAUCCAGUCAACACCACGGCCAUAGUUCCUUGGCUUACUUUCAACGUUCUUUUGGUCCACUCUACCUCGACUGUUCAUUUCAUGUCAUCCCCUAAAUCUGAAUGCCAACCUUCUCAUUCUCCACACACCAUCUCAACCGCCCUUACUGGGAACGUCCAGCUAAGCUUCCUGGCCUCGCCAGGCUGUAAUACAACAACAUCUUCAAGAAGAAGGCAUGAGUUAGAAGAAGAAAAGCGAAUGAUGGGAGAGAGUAAUAGAGAUCAGAAGUGGCUUUGAGAGAUGAAGAGUAAACCAUAAGAAGAAAAAAAAAGAUAACAGAUGCUGGCUACAAAAUUCAGAUUCCCCUCUCCUGGCACGUCCUCCUGGGCCACAGAUCUCACCGGUGUGAGUCUUGGUCAAGAGUUGACUGGCCAGAGGAGGGAGACAAUCAAAAUAACAGUUCACCGGAGACGAUUGUGGGGUCCCCUCCUGUAUUUAAGGCCCAAGGGACUGGGGAAAAGUGCCACAAGUGGGGUAAAAGAUGGCUGUAUGGGUCCAAGAGGAGACAGAGCACAGCCAUGGCAGACAGAAAAUAGUCCCCCGAACAUAGGAGUCCCCUGGGACACGCCAUUCAUACCAGCGGGGGAAGAGGUUGAGCAUCAGAACCUGAGGGUGAGGAGAAGAAUUGGAAAAGGAGAUCUCCCAGUUGUUGGAAAGUCCAAAUACUGUUGACACCCCUAACAUUUGGAAUGCGUCAUCUGUGUUCUCUGUAAGUUUCUUGCUUCUCCUGUCACAAGAGUACUUUUUAACUUUUUGUAAUUAAAAUUAAUAAAUUUAAAGUGUAAAACUCCAUGACGCGAUACUGUACAACCACCUCCUUUCUCAAGGUCCAAAACAUUUCUGUCACCUCGAAAGAAAAUCCCACAUCAUGAAGCAGUCAUUCAUUCCCCUUCCCUCCUUGGCAGGCUCCUGGAAACCACCAGUCCAUUCAUGUCUCCACGGAUUUACCCGUUCUACAUAUGUUAUGUAAAUAGAAUCAUAUCAUUUGUGAUCUUUUGCUCCUGGCUCUUUUCACUUAGCAUGUUUUUAACAUUCAUCCACAGUGUAGAACAUAUCAGUGCUUUAUUCUUUUUAUGGCUGAAUAAUAUUCUAUUGAAUACAUAUACAGAGGAUUGUCAGAGUGCUAUUCCCUAGUUACGUGGAGAAGUGAUAUAAAAAUGCGUGGCCCACACGACUGAACAAUCCACGUAAAUAAGGCAUAGGGCACUGGGUCCUGGUCCAUACAAUUCAGUCAGUGUUCACUACCAUCACUAUUGUUAUUAUUGAGAUGGUAAUUUUUAUUAUCAUUUAACUAGCUUUCAUUGUAAAGUCUGCAAAUUCUAAUUUAAGAUCAGCUCAUCUCUCCCAUCCUCUAUGAUGGCUGGUUUUAUGUGUCAACGAGGCUAAGCCAUGCCACCCGUUUUGUUAAACACAGGUCUCGAUGUUGCCAAGAAGGUGUUUUUAAAAUCAAUUUUGCAGAGAGGUUAACAUUUACAUCAACGGAGUUUCCGUAAGCAGUUUACCCUCCAUAAUAUGGGUGGACUUCAUCAGAUCAGUUGAAGCCUUAAGAGCAAAGACUGAGGGUGCCCAUAAGAAAAGGGAAUUCUGCCUCAAGAUCACUAUAGAAAUUCUGUCUGGGUUUCCUGCUUGCUGGCCUGCCUUACAGAUUUCAGACUUGGCUAGCCCCACGCUCAUGUGAACCAGCUCCCUACACGCACACACGCACGUAUAUGUACGAGUGCAUACAUGUAUGCAUGCGUGUAUGUAUACACUGGCAGAAAUAUAUGUAUAUGUAUUAUUAUUUUAUGUAUAUGGUUGCACUGGUUUCUCUGGAGGACUCUAACACAUCCUCCCUAAUCAAGAAGGGGAGCCAGCCCACCCCUUACAUUCCUUUAUCUUCCAACAGUGAGCAGCUCCCAUUCAAGGCUGAUUCAAGUAGUUUCUCUUUCUCGCCGACUGUCUUUGUCAUCUCACCUAGUUCAUACAUUAACAUUCAAAGUCAGCAUCAUUAGAUGAUGAGGCUGAGGUUCAGAAAAGAUGGGCGACUUCCCCAGGCUCCUACGAUUUGUCCAUUACAGUGCCUGAUAAGAAUCGAAAAUUAUGUCACUGAAAGACUCGUGCUCUCUCCAGUUACCUUGCAGGUAGGUAUCUGCAUCGUUGUAAGGCAGGCAGUAUCCGGCACAAGCCUUGCCAACUAGUAGGCACUUAACAAGUGUAUCUUUCGCCCCAUAUCAAAACUGUCAUGUUAGUUCCUUCACUGGAGAGUGUCAUUCUAAAGACUCAUCUUUCCGAUGUCUUGAGCCUCUUGACGUGUUGCACGAAUUUGAAAAGUAUCCUUAGAUAUUUUCUGUAUUUUCCAACAGGUGAUCGAAUGCUUAUGGCUGUCACACAAGUCGUUAAAACCAAGUACUUGGGGUGCCUGGGUGGCGCAGUCGGUUAAGCGUCCGACUUCAGCCAGGUCAUGAUCUCGCGAAGUUUGGACCUUGAAUACCUUCUCUUGUCCUUGCUCUGAGCCAAUGAUGCAAAGUCUUCUAGGGUUUACAUUUAAUGGGGAACUAUGUUCCCUCAUCUGUUUUAAUUGUGAAACCAUGUUUCGUGCCUGUGAUUCUUUGAACUGCAACUUUCUGCCAGUUACGGGUUACACAGGCAAGAGAAGCUCCAAGAGUCAUUCUCACCUGUCCGGAGAACAGUGAAGCGCGAGGAGUCGAUAGAUAUCGUUUACCUAGUACAGAUCGUUAAUGGUUUGUUACAAUUCAAACCUCCUAUGUGCCAGAAGCUAACCCGCUGGCUACAGAGAAGUAUACAGUCCUCUUCCACAGAUUUUGAGACUCAGAAGGACACAUCCAGAAGAAACCCUGCCUCCAAACACGAAAGGGCGACGUUCUCAGAAACCUGCCAACUUCAAAAAACGUACACCAGCCUACAUCAUUUACUCUAAAUAUAUCGGACAUGAAGUAGCUCGACACUCGGACCCCUAGUCUGCAACAAUUUCUAUGGGAUUUGUUGUGAUGCCCCGAUUUCAGCUCAGACUCCAAUCAGGAUCCUUUCAGGGGAAAGAGAAAGCCCUUGUAAUGCAGAACACAGCUGCAAAGCUGCAACACAGGGCUGCUGGUUCUGGGCAGAUAGCAAAGGCCCCCAUCGCAGAGAAACUGUCCCCAACCAUCAGGAUUCAGCAGUUUUCCAAUCAUUGGACAAUAUUGAAAAUAAACUUCAAACCAAGAUAUAAGGAGAGAGUGAGACUCAGCAUUCUGAUAGGAAAAUUCUGCUUCCCUUGCCUUCCUGCAAAAGGCAAAAAUGGGGUAGGGCAAGAGGAGUGAUUGACACUCAGCAGAACGCGGACAAAGGAAGAAAAGGAUGUCCAGACUGGAUGACAAGAGAGAAUAUGCCCAAAGCGCCUGGCCGGCUCAGUCGGGGGAGCACGCGACUCUUGAUCUCAGGGUCGUGAGUUUGAGCCCCACGGUGGGUGUGGAGAUUACUAAAAACAUAAAUAAAUAAAUAACUCUAAAAAGGGGAGAGAAUAUGCUCUUGGAAAAAUCUACCUGAUCAAAGAUUCCAACUAAAGCUUGAGUGAAAAGGAAUUCAAAAUUAGCAUAUGUAUGUUACAUACGUAUAUGUAUAAUGUAUAUACAUAUUAUAGCAUACGUGCAAUUAUCUACAAAUUAGUUUAUGAGCUCCAUUAAAAGUUUCUAUAGCUGUUGCAUGUA